AACGAACGCUGGCGGCAGGCUUAACACAUGCAAGUCGAACGCCCCGCAAGGGGAGUGGCAGACGGGUGAGUAACGCGUGGGAACAUACCCUUUCCUGCGGAAUAGCUCCGGGAAACUGGAAUUAAUACCGCAUACGCCCUACGGGGGAAAGAUUUAUCGGGGAAGGAUUGGCCCGCGUUGGAUUAGCUAGUUGGUGGGGUAAAGGCCUACCAAGGCGACGAUCCAUAGCUGGUCUGAGAGGAUGAUCAGCACAUUGGGACUGAGACACGGCCCAAACUCCUACGGGAGGCAGCAGUGGGGAAUAUUGGACAAUGGGCGCAAGCCUGAUCCAGCCAUGCCGCGUGAGUGAUGAAGGCCUUAGGGUUGUAAAGCUCUUUCACUGAUGAAGAUAAUGACGGUAGUCGGAGAAGAAGCCCCGGCUAACUUCGUGCCAGCCGCCGCCGUAAAAC
rnacentral:rRNA from 1 species